UGGCAGAUAGAUGUCAUAAUUUGGCAGAUAGAUUUCAUAAUGUGGUAGAUAGAUGUCAUAAUAUGGCAGAUAGAUGUCAUAAUUUGGCAGAUAGAUUUCAUAAUAUGGCAGAUAGAUUUCAUAAUAUGGCAGAUAGAUUUCAUAAUAUGGCAGAUAGAAUCAAGGUCUAUUUUUGCAGCUGACACGCUUUGUGAAUGAUAUCUAUCUGUACCUGGAAACCAGUGUAACCCAUUUCAGAUAGAUGUUGAAAUAAAUUAAAUGUAAUCUAAUAACAAAUUACUUAGAUAAUUCAUCGUACUGUGUACACUAGAAUGGAAAGGGCUGUUAUAUUAGGACACACAGUGAGAGUGGGAAUGGGAAACUUCUCUUGAAAGAGAUAAACAAUUACUGUGGUAAAUAAACGGAAAUUACCAUUGGUUGACCAAGGAAUCAGAUGUCAUGUUGUUUGCUCUCCUAAGUUCUGGAUGCCUUACGCAAUAAUUGUGUUUGCUUGUCAGUCUGUCCCCAAUUGAAUAGCCCCUUACAGCUGGGUAGGAGACAGGAGGCUAUAAAACACAGAGACUCUCCAGGAUGGUGACUGUGCCAAGGCGAGGCUCUGAGAUGAGACCAGUCACACUUGUCUUGUUAGCUCUGUUCACCGGGGCAGUGACUCCCUACUGCAGAAGACUCUGUCUGACUCUGGACCCGAGCACUGAGCUACCACACACUAGAGAGGAUGGGGAGACAAGAGGUUCCACUUUAAACAACUCCGCUGGAGACGCUCUCACUCACUGUAGAAUGAAUCUGUUUCUGAAAGAUGAACGCACAAUUCAAGAGGACUGGAUGGUGCUAUUCCCUAGAGAGGAGAUCAACAGAAACUCUGAACUUGUACCGGCUGUGACUCUGGGCUACAACGUCUAUUCCAUCUGUGGGAGGGACAACCUGCUGCGAGCCGUUCUGGAACCUUUGAAAGGAGGGGAGCAGAGAGAGCCGUCAGGACUGCGGAGCUGCGGCCGCAGCAGGGUGCUGGCGCUGGUGGGACACUCCUCCUCUGGUCUCGGCAGCUCCUCACACUGGCUACAGAUGAUCCACAUAUGUACUUGUGCAUGUCUGAGAGACAGAGAUGUUAACCCCAGAGCCAUUCUCCUCAGAGCAGAGUCCAGUCACUCUGCCCAGAACCUAGCCCCGAUGCUGCCCCUGACAUGCUGGAGCAGAGUGGAUGUUGUCUGUGGGACAUGCAUACCGGAGGGUAAAGCUGAGGGUCAGGCUCCCUUACAUGAGGUGAAGGGGAUUGUUCUCCCCGGCCUGACUGAGUUCUU
rnacentral:lncRNA from 13 species